rnacentral:rRNA from 1 species
AGAGUUUGAUCCUGGCUCAGAUUGAACGCUGGCUGCAUGCUUAACACAUGCAAGUCGAACGAGAAAGUACCUUCGGGAACGAGUAAAGUGGCGGACGGGUGAGUAAUGCAUAGGAAUCUGCCCAGUAGUGGGGGACAACUCGGGGAAACUCGAGCUAAUACCGCAUGUGUCUUACGAGACAAAGACUUCGGUCGCUAUUGGAUGAGCCUAUGUCAGAUUAGCUUGUUGGUGGGGUAAAGGCCUACCAAGGCUACGAUCUGUAGCUGGUCUGAGAGGAUGAUCAGCCACACUGGGACUGAGACACGGCCCAGACUCCUACGGGAGGCAGCAGUGGGGAAUAUUGGACAAUGGGCGAAAGCCUGAUCCAGCAAUGCAGCGUGUGUGAAGAAGGCCUGCGGGUUGUAAAGCACUUUCAGUAGGGAAGAUAAUGACGGUACCUACAGAAGAAGCACCGGCUAACUCCGUGCCAGCCGCCGCGGU